UACGAAGGGGGCUAGCGUUGCUCGGAAUCACUGGGCGUAAAGGGUGCGUAGGCGGCCUGUUAAGUCAGGGGUGAAAGACGGUAGCUCAACUAUCGCAGUGCCCUUGAUACUGAUGGGCUUGAAUGUACUAGAGGUAGGCGGAAUGUGACAAGUAGCGGUGAAAUGCAUAGAUAUGUCACAGAACACCAAUUGCGAAGGCAGCUUACUAUGGUAUUAUUGACGCUGAGGCACGAAAGCGUGGGGAGUCAAACAGGAAUUAGAUUACC
rnacentral:rRNA from 1 species